GGGGAUUUAGCUCAGUGGUAGAGCGCUUGCCUAGCAAAUGCAAGGCCCUGGGUUCGGUCCCCAGCUCCA
rfam:Rattus norvegicus chromosome 8, whole genome shotgun sequence.